CCUACGGUGCGCAGCAGUGGGGGAUAUUGCACAAUGGGGGGAACCCUGAUGCAGCGACGCCGCGUCAGUGAAGAAGUACUUCGUUAUGUAAAGCCCUAUCAGCAGGGAAGAAUAAAUGACGGUACCUGAGUAAGAAGCCCGGGCUAACUACGUGCCAGCAGCCGCGGUAAUACGUAGGGGGCAAGCGUUAUCCGGAUUUACUGGGUGUAAAGGGAGUGUAGACGGCGAUGCAAGCCAGAUGUGAAAGCCCGGGGCUGACCUGCGGUAGUGCAUUUGGACCUGGAUGGCUGGAGUGCAGGAGAGGCAGGCGGAAUUCCUGGUGUAGCGGUGAAAUGCGUAGAUAUUAGGAGGAACACCGGUGGCGAAGGCGGCCUGCUGGACUGUAACUGACGUUGAGGCUCGAAAGCGUGGGGAGCAAACAGGAUUAGAUACCCUUGUAGUC
rnacentral:rRNA from 1 species